GCCCCGCCACAUUAUUUAUGUAUGUGCCUGUCCCAAGUCAGGAGCCUGUAAUUCAGUGGUUGUCGUUUGUUUAUGUGUUACAUAUUUGUUUUUCGUUCAUUUUUUUACAUAAAUAAGGCCGUUAGUUUUCUCGUUUGAAUUGUUUUACAUUGUCUUAUCGGGGCCUUUUAUAGCUGACUAUGCGGUAUUGGCUUUGCUCAUUGUUGAAGGCCGUACGGUG
rnacentral:lncRNA from 1 species